rnacentral:rRNA from 1 species
AACCUGCCCAAGAGAUCGGGAUAACACCUGGAAACAGAUGCUAAUACCGGAUAACAACAGAUGAUGCCUAUCAACUGUUUAAAAGAUGGUUCUGCUAUCACUCUUGGAUGGACCUGCGGUGCAUUAGCUAGUUGGUAGGGUAACGGCCUACCAAGGCGAUGAUGCAUAGCCGAGUUGAGAGACUGAUCGGCCACAUUGGGACUGAGACACGGCCCAAACUCCUACGGGAGGCAGCACG